ensembl:lncRNA
CUCAGACUUGGCAGGGUCUAGCAAGGGCUUGGCGGAAGGUGUUGGAAGGUAUUUCAAAGAGAUUUGCUAAGUUAUGCAACUAUCCCAUUGCUGCAAGCUGCUGUAUCUCCUUGUAUUCCUACAGAAAACCCUUUAGAAUGCCAAACAGAGCUCAUUGUGUUACUACGUGGGUGUUUGAAAAGGUGGGCUCCAUGAGAAGUGAUUCUGAGAUAAUCCAAAGCAAACUGGGCAUUCAAGGUGCUAAGAUGCCAUAAAAAGAGAGCAAAGUGCCCAGGCUUGGAGGGCUGCUGCCUCACAGAAUCAUAGAAUGGCCUUGGUUGCAAGGACCACAGUGCUCAUCCAGUUCCAACCCCCUGCUAUGUGCAGGGUCGCCAACCAGCAGACCAGGCUGCCCAGAGCCACAUCCAGCCUGGCCUUGAAUGCCUGCAGGGAUGGGGCAUCCACAGCCUCCUUGGGCAACCUGUUCAGUGCGUCACCACCCUCUGAGUCAAAAACUUCCUCCUCAAUGGACUGCUCCCAGAUGGCAGUGCAGACCCCAAGAAGAAUGCGUGUCACGUUUGUAGAGCUGCCAUAACAAUCAUGGGGAAGAGACAUCUGGAAGCAGAAAGCUGAAUCAGCUAAGGACUGGUCCAGACUUUGAACCAUGUAAGUCUGAGACUGAUCUUCCCUUAGAAGAGGCUCCACUGGCCUCAGCUUAUUGUAAACUCUUUGGACAAGGAUGUGUAUUUGGACAGCAUCCAGCGUGGUGGGACCUUCUCUUCAAGCAUUGCCACUGUGAAAACAGUACACAAUAGCCAUCGUAUGCAACAUAUGGAAAGUUGUGAUAAGAAUGUCUUUCAAGCCUCUUAAUUAGAUGUGAUUUGUUGGCCAAAGGAGCACUUCAGAGGUGAGCAGUGCCUAUCCUCUGAGACGUGACAGCAGCUGCCCUGGCCAUUGGGAGCCAGCUGUCCGGGUGUUUUGCAUCAGCCAGAUAUGGGGAUGCGAAGCCACACGCAUGUAUUUUCUGCUCCACCUGGUCUCCUAUCUGUAGCCCAACGGGGGACGUGUCUGUGAGCCUUCGGGAGACUCAGCCCCAGCAGCAUCG